rnacentral:rRNA from 1 species
GACGAACGCUGGCGGCGUGCUUAACACAUGCAAGUCGAACGGAAAGGCCCUGCUUUUGUGGGGUGCUCGAGUGGCGAACGGGUGAGUAACACGUGAGUAACCUGCCCUUGACUUUGGGAUAACUUCAGGAAACUGGGGCUAAUACCGGAUAGGAGCUCCUGCUGCAUGGUGGGGGUUAGAAAGUUUCGGCGGUUGGGGAUGGACUCGCGGCUUAUCAGCUUGUUGGUGGGGUAGUGGCUUACCAAGGCUUUGACGGGUAGCCGGCCUGAGAGGGUGACCGGCCACAAUGGGACUGAGGUACGGGCCAGACUCCUACGGGAGGCAACGGGGGGGAAUAUUGCACAAUGGGCGGAAGCCUGAUGCAGCAACGCCGCGUGCGGGAUGACGGCCUUCGGGUUGUAAACCGCUUUCGCCUGUGACGAAGCGUGAGUGACGGUAAUGGGUAAAGAAGCACCGGCUAACUACGUG